GCAGAUUUCCCCUCCCUGUUCCCUCUGGCAUGUUCCUAUUGACCACUGUCUAUAAUUGCAAUGGCUGAAAACUACUGUGGAAUCUAAUAUUAAUGUGCCAAGUCUGGUCUUUUCUAUUCCCUGCAAGACUGUCAAGGACCCCAAAGGAAUGUUGGGUUGAGAAUUGGUAGCAACCAUACUUCUGUCUGCUCCUCUUGACUCCUAUUAUUACAAUAGUGAUUCCUACCAAAGUAC